CUAACUAUACUUUCAGGGAUCAUUUCUAUAGUAUGUGACUAGAGAAGUUUCUCUGAUCGUGUAGAGCACCUGAAGCCACAAGGAGGAGCCAGAGCGUCCUCUCCUGAGCGUGAAACCAGCUCUAGGUGUUUCUUCUCCGACUGCCUUUGGCCAUUGAUGAUCGUUCUUCCCUUCCAUUGGAAGGGGUAGAGGGAGAGGAUGCAGUCUGAGUGGU